rnacentral:rRNA from 1 species
AGAGUUUGAUCAUGGCUCAGAGCGAACGCUGGCGGCAUGCCUUACACAUGCAAGUCGAACGGCAGCGCGGGGCAACCUGGCGGCGAGUGGCGAACGGGUGAGUAAUAUAUCGGAACGUGCCCUGGAGUGGGGGAUAACGCAGCGAAAGUUGCGCUAAUACCGCAUACGAUCUAAGGAUGAAAGCAGGGGACCGCAAGGCCUUGUGCUCCUGGAGCGGCCGAUAUCUGAUUAGCUAGUUGGUGGGGUAAAGGCCUACCAAGGCAUCGAUCAGUAGCUGGUCUGAGAGGACGACCAGCCACACUGGAACUGAGACACGGUCCAGACUCCUACGGGAGGCAGCAGUGGGGAAUUUUGGACAAUGGGCGCAAGCCUGAUCCAGCAAUGCCGCGUGAGUGAAGAAGGCCUUCGGGUUGUAAAGCUCUUUUGUCAGGGAAGAAACGGUGAGGGCUAAUAUCCCUUGCUAAUGACGGUACCUGAAGAAUAAGCACCGGCUAACUACGUGCCAGCAGCCGCGGUAAUACGUAGGGUGCAAGCGUUAAUCGGAAUUACUGGGCGUAAAGCGUGCGCAGGCGGUUUUGUAAGUCUGUCGUGAAAUCCCCGGGCUCAACCUGGGAAUUGCGAUGGAGACUGCAAGGCUAGAAUCUGGCAGAGGGGGGUAGAAUUCCACGUAGCAGUGAAAUGCGUAGAGAUGUGGAGGAACACCGAUGGCGAAGGCAGCCCCCUGGGUCAAGAUUGACGCUCAUGCACGAAAGCGUGGGGAGCAAACAGGAUUAGAUACCCUAGUAGUCC